AGCGAACGCUGGCGGCAGGCUUAACACAUGCAAGUCGAGCGGGCAUCCUUGUGGUGUCAGCGGCAGACGGUUGCGGAACGCGUGGGAACGUGCCCUUCGGUUCGUAAUAACUCAGCGAAACUUGAUCUAAUACCGGAUACGUACUACAGCAGAAAGGUUUAUCUGCCGAAGGAUCGGCCCGCGUCUGAUUAGCUAGUUGGCGAGGUUAUGGCUCACCACGGCGACGAUCAGUAGCUGGUCUGAGAGGAUGAUCAGCCACACUGGGACUGAGACACGGCCGAGACUCCUACGGGAGGGAGCAGUGGGGAAUAGUGGAAAAUGGGGGCAACCAUGAUCCAGCCAUGCCGCGUGAGUGAUGACGGCCUUAGGGUUGUAAAGCUCUUUUCUCCGGGACGGUAAUGACGGUACCGGAGGAAUAAGCCCCGGCUAACUUCGUG
rnacentral:rRNA from 1 species